GUGCCAGCCGCCGCGGUAACACCGGCAGCCCGAGUGAUGGCCGAUAUUAUUGGGCCUAAAGCGUCCGUAGCUGGCCGCGCAAGUUCGUCGGGAAAUCCACUCGCUUAACGAGUGGGCGUCCGGCGAAAACUGUGCGGCUUGGGACCGGAAGAUCCAAGGGGUACGUCCGGGGUAGGAGUGAAAUCCCGUAAUCCUGGACGGACCACCGAUGGCGAAAGCACCUUGGAAGGACGGAUCCGACAGUGAGGGACGAAAGCUAGGGUCUCGAACCGGAUUAGAAACCCCUGUAGUCC
rnacentral:rRNA from 1 species